UCAGUGUUAUUAACUUGGGUCUGGCCUACUUUGUUUGAAGGUUCUAACUUAUUCCUGUUAUGGCCAGUGAUAUUCUUCUCAUUUCCAACUGUCUUUUCUUGCGAUGAGUUGUUCACCAACUUAUUAACAUUUAUUAUAGGCUCAGCAGAAAUCUCUUUCCCUAAUAGGCUAAAUUUGUUUUCCUUUUCCAGAGCCUUCAAUGGAGAUCUCGAUGAUUUCUCUCCUUGAUUAAUCUUUCCCAGAGUUUUUGGCUCUGGUUUCGACCACUAUAACGGUAACAACAUCCAGGGCCCAAAGGCUCUGGUUUUUGCCACUAUAAUGGUAACAACACUUUCUUUCUCUGGCAUCGUGUUCUUCCUUACCCAUAGUUUUCCUUGAAAUGACCGUAACAACCACAAGAGAAACAAACGACUAGCAAAGAUUGAUAUUCAAUACGUUGAAUAUUUCCAUUAAUCAAAACCUUAAAAAUCAAGGGAUUUUCCAUAUUAACAUACACUACCAUACAGGCAUAUUGACUUCUCGCUUUAUUAUCUGUACUGAUUUAGUAGUGAAGCUUUCAUCUCUUAAAUAGGCCAGGGAGAUUCCUUCCUCUCUCAAUUCUUCUUUUGUCAUCGAACUCUUCCCCUAUCUUUACAACCUCCAGCAUUCUCUUCAUAGGCUCGUUAGGGGAUUUAUUGUCGAGUUAACUACAUCAAUGCACAUAGAACUUCUACUCUUACUGACCUAGCUAUGAGAUCAAUGCUAUUAAAAAGGUACUCAAGAAUACAUUAGACAUCAAAAUCAAUGCAACAAAGGGAAUUGUACGGGCGCAUCAGGUGAUUUAGAAGCCAUUGCUUCAUUGAAAGCCAUCACAACAAGAUAGUUGCAUCCCUCGAUAAAUCAAUUUAAUCUAGAGCCUUCAGUUGAGUUUGACACUAUGGCCAACCAAAAGAAACAGCACGAAGUUAAUGUUGAGAUGAAGCAAAGGCACAAAGUGGAGAGAGAAGCAAACAUUAUGCCAAAAUUGGAUGGUCGAAGAAUCAGGAAACUCCAAAGACUAAUCCAAGGCUUAUAGCCAUGAACAAGAAAUUUGGAAUGAUUCAUGGGUUAUCUUCACUUGUAAGAAUUUUCAAACUCAUUUGUUUACUUUUGUACAUUGGGUUAAAUGUUGAUUGUAUACAUUUCGACUAAGUGUUAAUGUAUUUUUAUUGUUGGAUCGAUAGUGAAUAUUCAUUCUUUAUUUUAAUUUUAUAUUUUUUAGUUGUAUUUAAAGCACAAUUCUAUCAUUAUUGACUGUAAAUGUUUAUGAAAA